AGAGUUUCUUCCUGGCUCAGGAUGAACGCCGGCGGUGUGCCUAAUACAUGCAAGUCGUACGCGUUGGCCCAACUGAUUUGAAGUGCUUGCACGGAUCUGACGUUGGUUUACCAACGAGUGGCGGACGGGUGAGUAACACGUAGGUAACCUGCCCAGAAGCGGGGGACAACACUUGGAAACAGGUGCUAAUACCGCAUAACAAUUCAAAUCGCAUGAUUUGAAUUUGAAAGAUGGUUUCGGCUAUCACUUCCGGAUGGACCUGCGGCGCAUUAGCUUGUUGGUGGGGUAACGGCCUACCAAGGCAGUGAUGCGUAGCCGAGUUGAGAGACUGAUCGGCCACAAUGGGACUGAGACACGGCCCAUACUCCUACGGGAGGCAGCAGUAGGGAAUCUUCCACAAUGGGCGCAAGCCUGAUGGAGCAACACCGCGUGAGUGAAGAAGGUUUUCGGAUCGUAAAGCUCUGUUGUUGAAGAAGAACGUGCAUGGGAGUAACUGUUCAUGCAGUGACGGUAUUCAACCAGAAAGUCACGGCUAACUACGUGCCAGCAGCCGCGGUAAUACGUAGGUGGCAAGCGUUAUCCGGAUUUAUUGGGCGUAAAGAGAGUGCAGGCGGUUUCUUAAGUCUGAUGUGAAAGCCUUCGGCUCAACCGAAGAAGUGCAUCGGAAACUGGGAAACUUGAGUACAGAAGAGGGCAGUGGAACUCCAUGUGUAGCGGUGGAAUGCGUAGAUAUAUGGAAGAACACCAGUGGCGAAGGCGGCUGCCUGGUCUGUAACUGACGCUGAGACUCGAAAGCAUGGGUAGCGAACAGGAUUAGAUACCCUGGUAGUCCAUGCCGUAAACGAUGAGUGCUAGGUGUUGGAGGGUUUCCGCCCUUCAGUGCCGGAGCUAACGCAUUAAGCACUCCGCCUGGGGAGUACAACCGCAAGGUUGAAACUCAAAGGAAUUGACGGGGGCCCGCACAAGCGGUGGAGCAUGUGGUUUAAUUCGAAGCUACGCGAAGAACCUUACCAGGUCUUGACAUCUUGCGCCAACCCUAGAGAUAGGGCGUUUCCUUCGGGAACGCAAUGACAGGUGGUGCAUGGUCGUCGUCAGCUCGUGUCGUGAGAUGUUGGGUUAAGUCCCGCAACGAGCGCAACCCUUAUUACUAGUUGCCAGCAUUAAGUUGGGCACUCUAGUGAGACUGCCGGUGACAAACCGGAGGAAGGUGGGGACGACGUCAGAUCAUCAUGCCCCUUAUGACCUGGGCUACACACGUGCUACAAUGGACGGUACAACGAGCAGCGAACUCGCGAGGGCAAGCAAAUCUCUUAAAACCGUUCUCAGUUCGGAUUACAGGCUGCAACUCGCCUGCAUGAAGUCGGAAUCGCUAGUAAUCGCGGAUCAGCAUGCCGCGGUGAAUACGUUCCCGGGCCUUGUACUCACCGCCCGUCA
rnacentral:rRNA from 1 species